UUUGUUGCCAGGAGACUGAACAAUCUGAAACUACCAAAGAAAAUGUGACACAUACAGAAGAAAAUGCAGAAGCAGGUGCUGAGUCUGCAGAGGCAGAAGCUGAGACAGAAGAACUGGAAGAAGGCGAAGAACAGCCAGUGACAGAAGAACAGGAGGAAGCACAAGAGGAGGAAGAAGAAGAAGCA